AUUGAACGCUGGCGGCAGGCCUAACACAUGCAAGUCGAGCGAGCGGAGGACGGGUGAGUAAUGUCUGGGAAACUGCCUGAUGGAGGGGGAGAACUACUGGAAACGGUAGCGAAUACCGCAUACCAUCAGAUGGGGCCAGAUGGGAUUAGCUAGUAGGUGGGGUAACGGCUCACCUAGGCGACGAUCCCUAGCUGGUCUGAGAGGAUGACCAGCCACACUGGAACUGAGACACGGUCCAGACUCCUACGGGAGGCAGCAGUGGGGAAUAUUGCACAAUGGGCGCAAGCCUGAUGCAACCCUGCCGCGUGUAUGACGAAGGCCUUCGGGUUGUAAAGUACUUUCAGCGGGGAGGCGUUACCCGCAGAAGAAGCACCGGCUAACUCCGUGCCAGCAGCCGCGGUAAUUC
rnacentral:rRNA from 1 species